GGCCUCGUAGCUCAAUUGACUAGAGCGUUGGUUGAACUUAAGCCUUCCCCUUGCUCACGUGGGUUCGAAUCCCACUGAGGCCG
rfam:Schistocephalus solidus strain NST_G2 genome assembly, scaffold: SSLN_scaffold0001183